AAAGGUACAGCUCAGUGGUAGAGCAGGUGCUUAGCAUGCACAAGGUCCUGGGUUCUAUCCCCAGUACCACCA
rnacentral:tRNA from 1 species